rnacentral:tRNA from 1 species
AAGGAUUUAAGUUAAGUAAACUAGAAACCUUCAAAGUUUCAAAUAAAGUAAAUUACUUUAAGCCUUA